UAGUAGUAAAGAUGUAAUCGGUGUAGAGAC
rnacentral:piRNA from 1 species